rnacentral:rRNA from 1 species
CAGCCGCCACGGGAAUACGUAGGGUGCAAGCGUUGUCCGGAAUUAUUGGGCGUAAAGAGCGUGUAGGCGGCUCGACAAGUCCGCUGUGAAAGUCCAGGGCUCAACCCUGGAAUGCCGGUGGAUACUGUCGAGCUAGAGUCCGGAAGGGGCGAGUGGAACUCCUGGUGUAGCGGUGAAAUGCGCAGAUAUCAGGAAGAACACCAAUGGCGAAGGCAGCUCGCUGGGACGUGACUGACGCUGAGACGCGAAAGCGUGGGGAGCGAACAGGAUUAGAUACCCCGGUAGUCCCUGUCUCUUAUAC